rnacentral:rRNA from 1 species
GACGAACGCUGGCGGCGUGCUUAACACAUGCAAGUCGAACGGUGACGAGGAGCUUGCUCCUCUGAUCAGUGGCGAACGGGUGAGUAACACGUGAGUAACCUGCCCCAGACUCUGGGAUAACAGUUGGAAACAGCUGCUAAUACCGGAUACGAGACGGAGAGGCAUCUCUACCGUCUGGAAAGUUUUUCGGUCUGGGAUGGACUCGCGGCCUAUCAGCUUGUUGGUGAGGUAAUGGCUCACCAAGGCGACGACGGGUAGCCGGCCUGAGAGGGCGACCGGCCACACUGGGACUGAGACACGGCCCAGACUCCUACGGGAGGCAGCAGUGGGAAUAUUGCACAAUGGGCGAAAGCCUGAUGCAGCGACGCCGCGUGAGGGAUGACGGCCUUCGGUUGGUAAACCGUACUUUCCUAGCAGGGAAGGAAAGGACGGAAAAGGUAGGAAC